AAGUCGUGACAAGGUUUCCGUAGGUGAACCUGCGGAAGGAUCAUUAACACGUAUCCAACGUUAAACAACUCUGUGAACUUUCAACGCUCUUGUAACCGGCGGAACAGCAAUCCCGGUAAAUCAGUGGGCGGAAAAGUUUUGAUUCGGGACCUGUGUCCAAAAGUUACAAUCGAGCUAGGAGCAGUGGUAUGGUUUCCCUAAGCAGUGCAGAAGGAUCCACUGAGUAAGGAUAACGCAUCACGGUUGCCAGAGGUCGCCGGCCGGCAGACAUGUCACAAGGCUAUAUGCCCCUUCAUUCACACCUUGCUCUCUCGCCGGGCACAAAAACCGAACAACUGUUAACAAUGGAUAUCUUGGUUCUC
rnacentral:misc_RNA from 1 species